CGUGUGGCUGAAACCACGUUUCCCAUGUCCUGGAGCCGGGUCUCGUGUGCUGUGCAGCCCACCGCGCGACCCUGGAGCCCGCGCACAGCAGGCAUGCAGAAAGAAGAGGGUGGAGGGUGUGCUUGAGGUUGGCCUCAGGGUGUGGCUUGUGCCUCAGUUUCCCUGGCUUGGGAAUAAGGGAAGGGGCAGCCAGACAAUGAAGAGUUGAACCCCAUGAGCUCUGUGCCUGGCUCUUCUCAGUGUCUCGAUUGUCGGAGGCAGAAGAGGAGGGACUGGAGCAGAGGGGGGAAACGGAGGUCUCGGGGAGGCGAGGGUCCACGUGCGUGAACUCAGAGCCCUGUUCUCCUUGGUCCCAUCCCCCGCUCCAGGCUUGUGCCGGGAAGGGCAGCACAGGAAGGUGGACUGCUAGCCAAGGCCCCUUGCAGGGCGGGCCCUAGCUCUCUGCGCCUGCCUCGCCCACCCAUCCCUGGCCUCCAUGGUGCUUAUUUCAGGCUCCAAGUGCCCUGUCCGUGUGGAUAACGACCUUCACGCUCAAGGACACGCACAGCUCUAAGAGAGCACGAAGGAUGACCUGGUGACACAGGUGCCCCGAGGAAGGGGCAGCUGGGCCAUCUCGUCUCUUCCUCAGGAGGGUGAGUCCAUGCAGUCAGCCACCUCCACAGGGACAGAGGUCACCCCUACCUCCCUCUAACGCCCCCCCCCCCCCAGCAACCUGGGCUUCCUGCAGAGCUUGCCUUUCCCGGCAUUGUCCCCACCCAGGAGGAAGUCCUCAGUGGCCAGAGGCAGGAAGCCGCCUUCCCAUGGAGGGUCCCAGCCCCCCCCAAGACCUGUCAUCCUGGCCUCAAUCCUCCCAUGACAGAGCUGUGAUGGGAACCUGGCCUCCUCAGAGGGUACCCAGGAGAGGCCAGUGGUCCCAGCCCCCCAGAGAUGCCCAUCCCCUCCGGGGACACCCUUCUCACCUGGGCUGGGUCAGCUGCCCUCAUUGGUACCACUGGUCGGUCGGGGGCUCACAGCGCCUUCUUUGGGGCGGGCUGGAGCCAUGAGGGCGGAGUGUUUUGUGCUGGACCAUGCCCAGCCCACAGUGGCCUCCCUGCUUCUGCGGGCCUCAGGGAUGGGGCAGAGA